AGAAAGGAGAAUGUGCAAACUGUAAAACUUGGGAUAAAAAAAAGUUUUGAAAUUGCAGAAAAGGAUAUUUCUGAACCUUGUUAUUCUGUUUUCAGUGCAUUUCAUCAAAGAAGUUCUACCAAAUGGAUAUAAUAUUUCAAAUUCACUCACAAAAUGAGCAUGUAAGCAACUAGUAUUAUUUGAAGAGAUUCAUGUUACAUAGUUCACACUCCUCACAAAACUCAUAUAUAUCCAAUACUCAGCUGAUCAAUCCAUAGAAACAAGAAUGCAAAUUGCCACUUCUGUGCACAUAUCAUUAAUGUUAGGGUUUUGGAUCCCUAA
rnacentral:misc_RNA from 1 species